UAUCGGGGGGAAGGACAAGAUCAUUCAUGACGAUUGUUUUCCAGUGCUCCGGUGCCAAGAUGCAGUAUUACCAGAGUUUUAUAGCGGGAGAUCUCUAUUUAUGAAGUUAAACGUAGAGAUUUUCUGGCCAAAAAUUUGCUGGACCUGGCAACACCUAGGUGUCUGCUGUACGAGGUUGUGUGGCUGUUUAACCAGGAUGUGUGGGAGCUCGGAUUUUAGGAACAGCAACAUGUGUUGCCUAUUCUGCUGGGGACUUGGGGAGGGGGUCAAAAAAAAAGGUAAGAGCCAUCAGGCUUCCAGCACUGGAUAGACGUCUCUGAGAUGGUGCUGAGCAGGGAUGCACUGGCUUGGCGUUGCAAUCUGAGCAGCUGCACUUAUUCUCUAUUUAGGUAUUUUAGGAAAUGGGGAGGGGGAGCCUGAAAAAAAGAAUCAGGGUGUUGGAGUCACAUUUUUGCAAUACUGCUGCUCCAGCCCACAACAGGGUCUGAAUUUUUGGGUGCCCUAUGUUUCCCCACACACACAUAGAGUACAGCGUGGGGCCAAAAUUUGCCAAGAUCCAUGUACUGGAUCCAGAGUUUUGCAGUGGGAUGCAUCAACGUCCAGAAUUUUUUGCAGCCGCUUUUUGCUUGUUUUCUCAUUCGACGUUAGAAGUUGAGGGCAAAAUUUGGCUGGAUUCAGAAGCAUCUAUAUGCUGGGUCCAGGUUUUUGUAGUGCUCCUGCUCUGGAUGAUUAUUUUUUUUUCCAGUAGGCGUGUUUAGAUUGUUCUCUAUUUUGAGGAUACAGUUUGGAGACUUUGGGACUAAAGAUAUGCAGGACCCACUUUUUCCCUGGGGGGGGGGGAAUACUUUGGAGUGUCAGUGUCCACACACACAGGCAUCCACCCACCCUCUCCUGGCCUCCUUCCAUGCACCACACGUAUACACAACACUGUAACAUCCUUGACACUCUCUUGAGAAAUGCACAACUCUCUCCAACAGACUGCAAAAGCAGAAGGCAACAAUGGAUCACUGAAGGAGACUCUGAUGUCAUAAACCCAAGAUUAUGACUUCAUGAUGAAGCAGCGAGAGAAGCCAGGAUGAGAGAAGGAAAAUAGAAUACAUUCAUCUUUGGUAACCAGCAAUGAUUAAAAGGGGAGUCCGGAAAAUUUGACAAAAAACAGAAUGUUAUAAUUUUUCCCCGAAUGUCUUUGCUUCCAAGCUACUAUGCUGAUUGACAUCUGGUCUUUCUAGCUAUUCAAGUAGAAGUCAAUCGGGAUCAAAUUUAUCACUGGUGACAUCAAUAGAGUUUCACCAGGAUGACCUGGGACCUUUAUGCCUCUAGGGGGAAGAUACCGAGAGAUCUCAAAUGCAAGAAUCACCGCACUUUAUAUGCUUCUUCAGUCUCACCUACAUUAUGAAAGCUUGCUGUGUGCUCAUCUGAAUUAGCUGUUUUACCAAUGAGCACCUAGGAGCUUCAGUCGUGGGCCAGGCACCCAUCAUGCUGGGCAUUAUACAAACAGAACACAGAGAUGGUGUCUGCCUCAAAUAGUUUACAAUGAUAUGCUGAAAAUUUGACUUUUUUUCCCCCUUUGGCUGGAUCUUAAAUGGAGAAAAUGUUGGUUUGUUUUUAUUUUAAACAAAAAAAGUACAACUAGAUUGACAACUUGCAUGCCAGGGUUUUACUUGAUGCAGUUUGAGACAGCUGAGAUGGUAUAUCAACCACCCCUCUUGCAAUGAGAUUUAUAAUGGAAAUGCGGACAAGACACCUAUCUUUGGAGAUGGCACUGUGCACCGCUUUAAAAGCUUGUUAUGAAUGUUAAUUGGUUAUCUGAAGAGUUUUCUUUUCCCACCUGUAGGCAGCCCAGGGCACAGGCUCGGUAAUACCAUUUAAUGAAUGCAUGAAAACACAGGAUGCUUAUGUGAGUAUUAGAAUGGCUGGCAUUGCUGCAAACAGUGUUGCAAUUUUAUUUUCAAAGUUUAAUCAGUAAUAAGCUGUUUGAUAUUGCUAUGUACUUGGAGAAGAGCAUUUCCUUAGGAUGACAGCUAAACAACUUUCCCACGGUUUCAUGUCUGUGUUUGGGUUUUAAUCAGUCUGCUCGGGGGAUUGUCAUGAACAUCAGUACUACACAAAAUAAAUAGAAGGCAAGCCACAAAAUAGUCAUGCAGUUAGGGUGGUAAUUGUUCACCCAGCAUGCAGGUAGCCCACCAUAUUCUGGCUUUUGCAAAUUGGAGCAUUGGUGAAAUUCACAGUCAUUUAAUUCCCAUUUACCGUAAGCCCUAAUAGCUCAUGCCAGAGAGGGCUUUGAUAGCUUAAUUGGUGCGUGGGCCUUAUGCUGGCUUUCUCUCACCCUGAGUGACAGCAGGCAAGGACAGCAGGCAACCUAUAGGCAGGGCACCAUGCUGCAAUGCAGCCCCUCAGCCUAUAGGCUACCUCAUAGCCUGAAAGAGUGUCUGUUGCAAAGUACCUUCCAUCUGGGGUGUCACAGUAGGACCACUGGAUCCACCUAAUCACAGAUUCCUUGUCUCUGCCUUCAGAUCUUCCCUGUGCCCGAGACUUUUUAGGGCCCACCUGGAUCCCCUCUCAGUGGUGCCCAGGGGGUCCAGAGAAUCAUCUGAGCAGCCAGCCUGUGCGGCACUCUCCCCAUGUACCACACAGCCCACCGCAGAGGCUUUGUGCGCUCUCUGUGCACUGGGUGGAUGUCACUCUUUCUGGGAACACAUUUUGUUUGUUGUUGUUUGUUCAAAACUAUACCAAUUCAGAGAGUUGACCCUUGACAGAGUUAACCUUUAGCAGGUCACCAGCACCGAAGAACACAUUUCCUGCAGUGCCAGUAAGAAAGUGCUAGAUAACAAAAAACAAAAAUGGCUUUGUCCUCUACAUUGCAAAAAAUCUGCACAGAAGCUGGGCUGGCUCCACAAAAUAGAUCUCUAGGAGCCUGCUCAGUGUAGAAGACAAGAUGAUUUAUUAAAUCUGGCACUGUGAGGGCACACGGUAUCAGCUUGGAGAUAACCUUCGGCGGGGAACUCUCUCACAGACAAAGCAUAGUAAGUGGUAGGCGCUUGGAAGACAAAAGCAGAGGCAUUUCAGGUAAUUUGCCCUGAAUGUAAUGAACUGCCAUUAACAUUCAUGCCCUCCCACUGAUGUCGAUGGAAGCUCUGUGCAUGGCACCAUUGCGGGAUAUAGGCCUAAAGGCAGAGGGUCUGGUUCUGCUCUCAGUUUCCAAAGCAGCUUCACUGAAGGCAAAGGAAUUACAUCAAGAUACAAUCAGUGUGAAAUCAGGGUCUCCCCUUGGCGUGUGCUUACCUCUCUUUAAUGCUAAUAAGAGUAAAGAGAAAAGUGAAUGAGACUACAAAGCUUUAGUUACUGUAGUUGCUUUAACUUUCAUCAAGAAUAUAUUGUUGGAAUUCCCAGUUGCUGUAUUUCUAAGAUGUUGCUUUAGGUUUUCAUACAGCUGGGGGGACAGACAUAAGAUUCAAAAUAAUCCACUCAGGAUAGCAAAGGAAAACUUCAGUUUAGUUAAAAGAAACGAGGUUCUCUUACUAAAAAUGAGUAAAUCACUGAUUCCUUGGGAUACCUUUGCUCAUGUUGAAUCGUACCUGAUGCAUUGAUUAGUGCCAAUAGGGCCACCUAGUGGAAUAAGGUACUACUCAAUAUCACAGUCUGACCCCCCAGGUCUUGCUCCUUAAUCAAAACUCCAUUAAAUGAGACCCAUAGUUUGUAGCAAAAGACAUUCUGUGCUGCAUUAAAAUGCAUUGGAAAGGCUGGAGCCUAAGUUUUAAGGGUUAAUUGGAUCCCACAAAGAAGAAUUAACUGAGCUGUUUUCUCUCUUUGUAAAAGAACCCUUAUCGUUAUUGUAAUCUCUACUUUAUUUCCACACAGGGCAACCAAAAUACAGGAUAUUUUUCACAUUUUAAUGGGCUUUUUGAACAAAAUGGUUUUAACAAGUAAUGUACAGAUUUUGAUUUAUCUAUAAUGUACAUACUAUAGUCUCAUUGCAUGAUGAUUUAUACACCAGAUCUUCAUAGGCAUGCAUAUCAGCUUGACUAUUAAUCUUUAGUUAUGUUUUACUAUGUGCUAAUGUUAUUUGCUUCUCCAGUGUUAAAGGAGAAUUUGAUUUUCAGAUGCUUACCUCUUGUUUGGAAAAUAAUAGCCUAAGGCACUGCUAUUCAACAACUACUGGGGGGAGGUUGAAGUUCUAGCCAACCAGCUUUUUCAAGCUCCCAUUGCUUACCCACUGUGGAACUUUACUCUUGAUUCAGGAAUAUAAAUAAUCUGCUUCCUUUC